GAUGAACGCUAGCGGCAGGCUUAAUACAUGCAAGUCGAGGGGCAGCAUAGUGUAGCAAUACAUGGGUGGCGACCGGCAAACGGGUGCGGAACACGUACAGAACCUUCCUUCGAGCGGGGAAUAGCCCAGAGAAAUUUGGAUUAAUACCCCAUAGGAUAGUGGAGUGGCAUCACUCAGCUAUUAAAGAUUUAUCACUUGAAGAUGGCUGUGCGUCUGAUUAGGUAGUUGGCGGGGUAACGGCCCACCAAGCCAGCGAUCAGUAGCUGAUGUGAGAGCAUGAUCAGCCACACGGGCACUGAGACACGGGGCCCGACUCCUACGGGAGGCAGCAGUAAGGAAUAUUGGUCAAUGGACGCAAGUCUGAACCAGCCAUGCCGCGUGGAGGAUGAAGGCCCUCUGGGUUGUAAACUUCUUUUCUUUGGGACGAAACCCCUGUUUCUACGGGGACUGACGGUACCAGAGGAAUAAGCACCGGCUAACUCCGUGCCAGCAGCCGACGG
rnacentral:rRNA from 1 species